GCCAGCCUAGUGUAGCGAUUUGAACAUUGGACUAUGACUCUGGAGACCAGGGUUCAAAUCCCGGCUCGGCCA